GCCUCCGUGGCUUAGUGGCUAUAGCGGCUGCCUAGUAAGCAGCAGGUCCCGAGUUCAAAUCUCGGCGGAGGCU
rnacentral:tRNA from 1 species